rnacentral:lncRNA from 1 species
GCAAGCUUUCGUUGAUUUGCUGGGGUGGGUGAGGGUCUGUAGUUCUGCCUUAGUGGAGGGCACAAUUCCAAAAGAUAUUUCUCCUUGCUCAAAACGAGGACCACCAGAUGGCCAUGGUCAACCUCUCCUGGAGACUGAGUUACUUAUGGGGCUGGUGCCAAUGUUUUGUGCAAACUUGGAAGCCUUGUGGCUUGCUCUGAGCCCUAUGAUAGUGCUGAAGGACCUCAGGGGCGUGGAUUGCGGCUAUCCCUGCUGAAGGUGCACGUGGGUGGGUAGAAGAAACCGUCAGCUCCAGUGGGCAACCAACACGCACCCAGGCAGAGAAUCGGACCCAAAGGCUAAGGCACCAAAGGGGACAGACAUAAUAUGAAGACAGAUGUACGUAGACAUCUCACUGAAAUACUUAGAACCAACAAACAAAUUCAGCAAAGUCUCAAGAUACAGCCAACAUACAAAAAUCAGUACCAUUUCUAUAUACCAACAUCAAAUGGUCUACAAAAGAAAGUUAAAAGAAAUCCAAUUCACAGUAGCACAAAACACUUAGGAUUAAAUUUUACUAAGGAAUGAAGGCGUAUACACAGGAGAUUCUAUACUUAUAAAACAUUAAUAAAAGAAAUUUAAAAUGACCAAUAAAUGGGAAGAAAUCCCAUGUUCAUGGACUGGAAUAAUUUAUAUUGUUAAAAGUGUUCUUUUAAAG